rnacentral:rRNA from 1 species
CCUUGCCAGCCCGCUCAGAAACUUAAGGAAUUGACGGGGGCCCGCACAAGCGGUGGAGCAUGUGGUUUAAUUCGAUGAUACGCGAGGAACCUUACCUGGGCUCAAAUGUAUGUUGACGUAUUCUGAAAGGGAUACUUCUUCGGACAAUAUACAAGGUGCUGCAUGGUUGUCGUCAGCUCGUGCCGUGAGGUGUCGGGUUAAGUCCCACAACGAGCGCAACCCCUAUUGCCAGUUGCUACCAGGUAAUGCUGGGCACUCUGGUGAGACUGCCCCGGUUAACGGGGAGGAAGGUGGGGACGACGUCAAGUCAUCAUGGCCCUUACGCCUAGGGCUACACACGUACUACAAUGGCGCAUACAAAGGGCAGCGAUACCGCGAGGUGGAGCCAAUCCCAAAAAGUGCGUCCCAGUCCGGAUUGCAGUCUGCAACUCGACUGCAUGAAGUUGGAAUCGCUAGUAAUUCGAGAUCAGCAUGCUCGGGUGAAUGCGUUCCCGGGCCUU